rnacentral:lncRNA from 1 species
UCUUCGCAUGUGACUCCUUGAGGGCCCUAUAUGAUCCCGCUAAGGCUGAGUAGGCUCUAUCUAAAAUAGCUACGAUGGAUUCUUACUUCUUUUGCUCAUUAUGAUAUAUUUCAUAAUCUGAUCAAAUUACAUAUGAGUGGCAAGUGGUGGAUGGCUCUCCUAUUCUCUGAGGAAAUCUAGAUACUUUCUCCCUAAUCUCUCUUAUUUAACCUGAGAUGUCAUUGAGGG